UCAGUUCAAGUUGUGAUAACCCAGAUUCAGGCUAGUUAUCAGGAGAAGUUUCCCUGCUAUCAGAGUAAUACAACAGUGGAACCAGUUGUCUAGAACGGUGGUGGGCUCUCCCACACUAGAAACAUUUUCAAGAAGACACAGGGUCAGCCCUGUGAGGGGAUGG